CGGUACGCUCAGCUCUCCCAAGCCGGGAGCGGCAUGACGAGUCAUUGUGCACCUAUUGGACGGGAUCCCCUCCCCUAUUGGGGCCCUUUGACCCCUAUUAUGGGAUAUCCAAUGUCUACGACCUUACGGGACAUUGGUUUUCGAGGCCGCGGGAUCCUACCUAGACGCCGGCUAAUCCAACAACAACAACCCCAUUGCCGGGUUGUUCGGGCAUUAGCCAUGCCCAACACCCUCGUUCUCGGGCCUCAACCUAAGACUCUGUGCUUAGGUCCGGGAUGCCCCGCGUCGUCCGCGCUUUGGAAAUGUUACGCCCGUUGGCACUAUUCCCUUGGAGCUCACGGACAUUUGCGUCCGACAAGUCCACAAAUUUUGCGUGGACCUCUUUCCCGGCCCGUUCUGGCCGCGGUCGGCGGCGCCAUUAUGGCCGCCGAGCUCACCACCGGCGAAAAUAACCCGAAUUUCGCAAGCAUCGACCCAACAAUUCAGAGAACCCUUUAGACCGCCGAAUUGGCAGUCCGCAGAUUCCCUAUGACCGUUAGAACCUUGGCCCUCUCCACUCCCCAUGAAGCCCCCAUCCCCACUUUAGGACAUUAGGAGCUCCCUGGUGGACACCGCUUCCGCGGAGUGGUCUUGCCGAAGCUGUCACUCCCUGCUUUCGACCCCCUCGUUUGGCCUAAUCUAUGGGCCCAUCAGGGUCGGCAUUUGCUACGCGCAAUCCACAUAGCCACUGGUGCUCAAUGGCUCCACGGCUUCCCUUUGGCACUUUGCGCGGCGGACCCUUCAUGCCAGCGUUCCGACUUUGAAUUUCCUUAACCGCCCCCUCGUGGUGUUGCCCACCUCGGACGCCAAAUUAACCUGAGUUGCGGCCCUUCGAGUGGCCUAUUCUGUCGACUUACUAACGGCCCGACUUCUGAGACGUACUGAUCGACUCUCCUCCACGUACCGGCAGCAGUCAAGCAUGACACUUCGUAGGACAAUUCAGUCCGUUGCUCGCUCUGGGUGCGGUUGUCAACGGUCGUACCAGAGACCUGACUACCCCUGUGACAACCCUGGCGGAGACGAUUUCUCCUCCUUCCUUACCCGUUGCCAUCCAGUCGUACAGGGCUUAAUAGGCCCGAUGUGCGCCCGAUGUUACCCGUCCUGUUACCCAUAGCUGUGGCUCUCCACUUCCGUUAGAGGAUUUGGACAGGAAUCAAGCCUAACACCCGACGUUGAGCGGGUGUACUUCGACCUUAGGCAUCAUUAGCGCGAAGUUUUAUCGCGCCACUUAUACAGGGACGAGGAACGUGUGUGGCGGGCAGUUUGGUGGGCUCACCCCAACCUACUCCAACGCC
rnacentral:rRNA from 1 species